UAAUAAGUGUUUUUAUGGCACUUUUUAAAUCCAUAUCCACCUUGUGUGCAAUGUCAGUCGAUCUUCUUCAUGGAGAUCGACCAAACAUCAACCUUUAUCUUUUAACCUCUUUGUCUGAAAAAUAUUAUGAAUAAACAAUUCAAAAUA
rnacentral:misc_RNA from 1 species